rnacentral:tRNA from 1 species
CAAGAUUUUAAGUUAAAAAAACUCCAAGCCUUCAAAGCUUACAUUAAACUCACAAUGUUUAAGUCUU